rnacentral:rRNA from 1 species
CUGGCUCAGGAUGAACGCUGGCGGCGUGCUUAACACAUGCAAGUCGAACGAUGAUCCGGUGCUUGCACCGGGGAUUAGUGGCGAACGGGUGAGUAACACGUGAGUAACCUGCCCUUGACUCUGGGAUAAGCCUGGGAAACUGGGUCUAAUACCGGAUAUGACUCCUCAUCGCAUGGUGGGGGGUGGAAAGCUUUUGCGGUUUUGGAUGGACUCGCGGCCUAUCAGCUUGUUGGUGAGGUAAUGGCUUACCAAGGCGACGACGGGUAGCCGGCCUGAGAGGGUGACCGGCCACACUGGGACUGAGACACGGCCCAGACUCCUACGGGAGGCAGCAGUGGGGAAUAUUGCACAAUGGGCGCAAGCCUGAUGCAGCGACGCCGCGUGAGGGAUGACGGCCUUCGGGUUGUAAACCUCUUUCAGUAGGGAAGAAGCGAAAGUGACG